GCUGAUUUAUGUUGGUAAAUCAACAACAGCUGAUUCCAGUCUGGCUUAUUUAAGGAGGACUUUGAGGAGUGAUGCUUUUGGAAACAGAAAAGGACAAACACUGUAAUGUCUGAACGAGGAAGAGGAAGAGCAAGGGGUCCAGGGAGAAGACCAGGUCCAGGGAGAGGUGCAGGAAGAGGAGCAGUGAGAGGUGCAGUAGGAGGUGCAGUGAGAGGAAGAGUAAGGCGUGCAGAUGUAGAAGGAGGUGCAGUGAGAGUUGCAGGUGCAGGAAGAGGAG
ensembl:lncRNA